CCUACGGGUGGCUGCAGUCGGGAAUUUUGGGCAAUGGGCGAAAGCCUGACCCAGCAACGCCGCGUGAAGGAUGAAGUUUUUCGGAAUGUAAACUUCGUAAGAAUGGGAAGAAUCAAUGACGGUACCAUUUGUAAGGUCCGGCUAACUACGUGCCAGCAGCCGCGGUAAUACGUAGGGACCAAGCGUUGUUCGGAUUUACUGGGCGUAAAGGGAGCGUAGGCGGCGCGUCAAGUCAGUUGUGAAAUCUUAAGGCUUAACCUUAAGCGGUCAACUGA
rnacentral:rRNA from 1 species